rnacentral:siRNA from 1 species
CUCUGGAAGAUGUAGGGCCUUUGG